rnacentral:rRNA from 1 species
UGCAGGAUGAAGCAUCUAUGGUGUGUAAACUGCUUUUGUACGGGAAGAAACACCCCUUCGUGAAGGGGCUUGACGGUACCGUAAGAAUAAGGAUCGGCUAACUCCGUGCCAGCAGCCGCGGUAAUACGGAGGAUCCAAGCGUUAUCCGGAAUCAUUGGGUUUAAAGGGUCCGUAGGCGGUUUUGUAAGUCAGUGGUGAAAUCCGGCAGCUCAACUGUCGAACUGCCAUUGAUACUGCAGGACUUGAAUUAUUGUGAAGUAACUAGAAUAUGUAGUGUAGCGGUGAAAUGCUUAGAUAUUACAUGGAAUACCAAUUGCGAAGGCAGGUUACUAACAAUGGAUUGACGCUGAUGGACGAAAGCGUGGGGAGCGAACAGGAUUAGAUACCCUGGUAGUCCACGCCGUAAACGA